UCGGGGCGCCGUGUUCACCCGCGGUGCAUGGUGGGGCCGUCGCCCCCGACAACCCGCCCCUCCCCUCCGCGCGCUGGCCCGAGGCGGCGCGGGGCGAGCGUGGCGGCGGCGGCAUGCGCCAGGCCUCCGCUCGGUCCGCGCCCCUGGCGAGCCCCGGCUACUAGGAGAGGCUGGGCCGCCUCCAGCGCGGGCUGCGGGACAGGUACGGCCUACCCGAGGCGGGGGCGGGCAUCGGCCGGCGCCGAGGGUCGGCUGGUGCCCUGCCGUCUGUCCUUCCCACUCGCCCCGCCCGUGGUUCCCCUGGGCCUGGGUCCGCCCGCGACGGCCCCCAAGCUCCCACUGGGGCCUGGAGGACAGAGUUUACCAGAGAGACCCCCGUGUUGGAGAUCUCCCGCUGGAGGACGCGGCCGCGUCGCUGAAUUUGCCCGGAAGGGGGAGUAGGAGUUCUCCUGCCUGUCACUCUCAGUCAAGCCUCGUGAAUUUCUCUCGUUCCCUCUACACGCCCCCUCCGCAGUCUCUUCAAAUUGUCAUCCCACCCUGACAGCUGCACUGCAUCAGUGGUGACAGGUCCAGGAACGCAGGCAGUGAAAAGAAGAGAUUGGACCUGGAAAAGAAACUUUAUGAACAUAAUCAAUCUGACAUAUGCAGCAGGUAGUGAUCUCAGCUGGUCUUGAACCGCAAACUGGCUCCUGGCUGCAGCUCCAGCCUCAGUUCAGAUCUUCUGUUGUUAGCGAGUGGCUUGCGCAUGCGUGGUUCAGUCCGUCAGAAAGGUGAGGGCAGAGUCUGAAGUUUCCCCUGCACAUUUCUUCCC